GGGGUUAAAUUUCCCCUCGGGGGGGGGGCGCAGUAGGGAAUCUUCCACAAUGGACGCAAGUCUGAUGGAGCAACGCCGCCGUGAGUGAAGAAGGUUUUCGGAUCGUAAAGCUCUGUUGUUGGUGAAGAAGGACAUGGGUAGUAACUGAUCUAUGUUUGACGGUAAUCAACCAGAAAGUCACGGCUAACUACGUGCCAGCAGCCGCGGUAAUACGUAGGUGGCAAGCGUUGUCCGGAUUUAUUGGGCGUAAAGCGAACGCAGGCGGGAGAACAAGUCAGCUGUGAAAGCCCUCGGCUUAACCGAGGAACGGCAACUGAAACUGUUUUUCUUGAGUGCAGAAGAGGAGAGUGGAACUCCAUGUGUAGCGGUGAAAUGCGUAGAUAUAUGGAAGAACACCAGUGGCGAAGGCGGCUCUCUGGUCUGUAACUGACGCUGAGGUUCGAAAGCAUGGGUAGCGAACAGGAUUAGAUACCCUGGUAGUCCAUGCCGUAAACGAUGAGUGCUAAGUGUUGGGAGGUUUCCGCCUCUCAGUGCUGCAGCUAACGCAUUAAGCACUCCGGCGUGGGGGG
rnacentral:rRNA from 1 species